UACAGAGGUGGCAAGCGUUGUUCGGAAUUACUGGGCGUAAAGGGCGCGUAGGCGGCCUUGUAAGUCCCGUGUGAAAUCCCUCGGCUCAACUGAGGAACUGCACGGGAAACUGCUUGGCUUGAGUUCGGGAGAGGGAAGCGGAAUUCCGGGUGUAGCGGUGAAAUGCGUAGAUAUCCGGAGGAACACCGGUGGCGAAGGCGGCUUGCCAGAAUGCGCUCGACGGUGAGGGAUGAAAGCUGGGGGAGCAAACCGGG
rnacentral:rRNA from 1 species